GAACGGCAUCACGAGGGUUACACUGUCUCCCACUUCUAAUCAGUGAAACUGAUCCCCCCGUGAAGAAGCGGGGAUAAACUUAUAAGACGAGAAGACCCCAUGGAGCUUUAAACUCAGUACCAAUCAUCUAUAAUUACACCACAAUAACCCGAUGACUCUGGCUACUAGUUUUAGGUUGGGGUGACCACGGAGCAUAAUAAAACCUCCAUGUUGAAAAACUUCCUCCAAUCCAAGAGUGACAACUCUAAGAAUCAAAAAUUGACAUACAUUGACCCAAAUAUUUUGAUCAACGAACCAAGUUACCCUGGGGAUAACAGCGCAAUCCAUUUCAAGAGCUCCUAUCGACAAAUGG
rnacentral:rRNA from 1 species